AGGGAGAAAGAAGGAGAGAGAGAGAGAGAGAGAGAGAGAGAGAGAGAUAGAGAACGAAGAGGGGGAGGAAGACGGCAUAGUCUAGAUGCUUCAUUCUUUGUGUGGGUAGCAAAUUCUAAACCCACCAUCCCCGUUCUUGGAAUCAUUGAUCGUGUUCUGGGAUUUUGGAGACAGAUCAGAAAUGGCGUCAAAACCAGUUGUAACGCAGCUAGCUAGAGGUGCAGAAAUUGCAGGUGGAGGAGGGAAACAGAAGAUCCCUUUGGGAAAAGGAGACAACCGGAAAGCACUUGGAGAUAUUGGGAAUUUGGUUCCUGUGCAAGUCAUCGAUUGGGAAGCCGAAGCAAGAGUUCUCCCAUCCCCUAACGAGGAGUUUUUGUGCACAAUUACUUUAGAAUGCACAAGCUGCUGCUGUAGCAGAGAAUAUUAAGAAAAAACCAGCACCAAAAAUUUUUAUUGGACCUGUGGAGAAGAAAGGAGUUGUGCCAGCAAAACCAGCUCAGAAGAAGGUCAAUAAAAAGCCAAAGACAGAUAUAUCAAGGGAGGUAAGCCCGGAGCAGAAAGGAAUAAAUGCAAUCCAGAAAACAUCAAGGCGUAAAAAGAUCAGCAGACCCUCGCAUCAUUCCUAACAGCUCGAAGCAAGGUACCCAACUUUGUCUCCAUUUCAGACAUGGCAUAAUACACUGGAGAACAGAUUUUUGCCAUGGAGUAGGCAAUCUCAGAAAAGCUUGAAUGGAGCUUAACAGUGCCUACACCAUAUGUCUUUCUUGUUCGUUUUAUUAAGGCUUCUAUGGCUGAUCAAAAAGAGCGCAUCCAGACCUCGAAAAGAAAACAAUCUCUGUUGCAUGUAGCUCCUUCAGAUGCAGUAGAAUAUUAUCCAAUAGAAAAGAAGUCACUGACUCAUAGAAUUGAAAUAUAUGAGCACGGAUGUUCUGUUGAAUGUUUCCAGAGAAAACCCAUAAGCCAAUGCACCAAGCAUUUUCAGCUCCACAACAGCCACCCCUUGAAAAAUCCAUCAGCCAUGCAUCAAGAAUUUUUUAAGUUUUCUAAUUCAGUUUCAAAGUCCAUGACAUCUGAACUGGAUGAAGGGCCUUCUUCAGGUUUGAAGCAAGUUCAGGAGACUGGUGAUAAAGUGAAUCAAGAACCUGCUCAUUUCUUCAGCUACUGAGGCUGAAGCAACUAAUGGUCUAAAUGGUAGCUGUAUGAAAGCUGUAGAACUUGGUAUGUGAUAUUUCUGCUCUUUUAAAUUAUUUGAUGGGUAAUGACGAAAAAAAUCCAUAAAAUCCAAGAAUUUCAACUAAUUUUCUUAACAAAGGGUUAUAUCGUAACUGAGCACAACCCAUCUUCCCAAACUUCUCUGUUUCCUACUAUGAACCAACCCAGCCCCUCUUUUUUUCCGGGGAGAUAAUGGUCCUUCUCUCUCUCUCUCUUGUUCCUUCCAGCUCCCUCUUUUCUUCUCCCUCAGGAUCAAAUGGGUUUGACCAGAAAAAUUGAGACCUUGGUUUCCAGAAAAUAAAUUGGAUUUACAGUUCUCUUGGACGUUUGACCAGAAAAAUUGAGACCUUGGUUUCCAGAAAAUAAAUUGGAUUUACAGUUCUCUUGGACGAGAAGAAGUGAGUUGUGCAGGAAAGAACGCUGUAAGGUUUAUGUUCUUGGUAAGAAAUGGUUUUUUUUUUCUCAAUAAUUAACUUGCAGUCUUCAUCAAUGUGAUAGAGAGAAUCAGCUAUUCAAACAACUUUUCAUACAUGCUUCAUAGCGGAUUUGGGCUUUACAAAUAAAAAGGAACAGGGCUUACGGCUGCUACCGCCCCUUCUUCCACCAUAGAUUUGCUACAAUAUCUACCCUCUGAAACACAAAACCUAAACCUCUAGCUUGGGCCAACGAAAUCCCACAUAGAGCUUUGAGAAACUUAGAAAUGGUACAGAAAACAAAACAGAAUCCAAGGGAGAGAGACAAAGAGGUUCUGGUUUCAUGGAAAGUACAAUUGAGAUAGUGACCAUGCAGGAUGAGUGGAACAGAGAAAGUAAUUGACUUUUCAAAAUGAUUUCCGCCGCCAAUAGAGAUGAAAGAAGAGAUGGAUCUCCGGUUGACAAUGCUAACUUAACCAUAUGAUUAAUUAAAGGCAAGAAGAAGAAGAAGAAGAUGGGUCGAUUUUCCCACUUCUGACUGCAAAAUGGGAACCUUCAAAUAAAAACAGAGAAGAAAGAGAUCCAACUCCAUUUCUACCUAAGCUGUUCGAUGUGUCAAAUGCUCAAUAAAGCUCUACUUGUAUGCUAAUGUGCUAUUUCCUACUGAUCCCUUGAUUGUUCUUUUGGCAGACAGGUGUUUCUGUGCAGCUGAUGUAUUUGUUUUACGUUUGAAGCUAACCCCCAUUUUUUUUUUAUUGACUCUGAAAUAUUUUUUUCCUUAAGGGAUGAAGGGAUAUUGGGCACUACUUUAAUUACAACUACAGAGGAGGAAUACCACUUCGGGAACGGUCAAAUAUGGCCAAAAAGAGGGCAUAAAUAGAUGCUGUGAGGUUAGUCAAGGACAUCUUGUGGCAAUUAUCUCAAGAUUUCAAUCUGAUGGUCAAACGGUAAGAUUGUGUAGUUGUGUAACUCUAAUCCGUUUGGAUCUCAAGAGUUCAAUCUGAUGGUCAAACGUACCAUAUAUCUUUUGACAUUUAAGGGGUAAGGUUGUGUAAUUUUAAUCCCUUUGGAUCUCGCACAUGCGAGAAUCUCAUGUAUUGAUAUGUAUUUUUUUUUUUUUUCAUUGCCAAAAUCCUCAUAUUAGAAAAUGGUAAAUAGGGCGUGGUACAUUUCAUUUGUGAUCUUAUGAAACCCACUUUUAAAUGAAUGGUUUUAAUCUAUUUUUGGUUAAAAUGGGAUAUUAUAUUCAUAGCAUUAGAUAAUAAUUGGUUAAAAUAUUCCAUUUGUGAUCUUAUGAGGUCCAAUUUAAAAAACAAAUGGUUUUAAUUUAUUUUUAAUUUAAAUAGUUUAUUAUUUGCAUAGCAUUAGAUAUGCAACACAGUUUAAAUUAUUCAAAUUUCAUUUAUUAACUUUAACUCCCCAAUAUUAUUGUUUAUGUUUGUCUCUUAGAGUUGGUUGACAUAAGCCUUAUACUGGCCACAAUCCAACAAACUUGCCUGAAAUGAAAUUUAAAUUGUCUUGAAAAACUUGUUCCAAGUUUAUGGUUUUAAUCUAUUUUUGGUAAAAAUGGUCAACACAAUUUAAAUUAUUCAAAUUUCAUUUAAACAAUAUUAACUUUUAACUCCCCAAUAUUUUACAGAGUAUAUGGGCCUAACAUGAGGUUUAUAUAGGCCACAAUCUAACAACCUUGACCAAUAUUGAUUUAGUUAUCCGAUUUGAAAUAUAUAGAGUUAUAGUAUUGUGAAAUAAUAAUUUCUUUUUCUGAUGCAUUUAUUUCACCAGUCCAACCACAAGUCCUACUCUUCACCUCUAGUUGGUCGAUCUAUUAGACCACAUUUUCCAACAUGCAAGCUCGAAGAUCCUUCACGACAACUCACUAGCCUUUUUUUUUAUCAGGUACAUCUCAUCUUAUUCAAUCUUCAAUUGACUCAUUUCUCACAUUCUUAUUGUGCUUUAAUAUAUGUUUUCAAGAGAAACCUUGGACUUAUUAUACCAUAACUUUUGUGGUAUGCAACUAUGGCCAAUGAAAUGCAUGUCCUUGAGUCCAAUAACACUUGGACCAUUCAACAAGCUCGGUAAGUGUUCUACUGGUUGCAGGUAUCUAAAAGGCAUGUUUACUCACCAAGGAUUGUUGGGUCUUACUCUGAUACUGUUUGUUGAGUCUCGAUAUCCCUUAUUGAGAAAAACGAUGACUCUCAGUUUUCACACAUGCCACUAAAGGAAAUUUGACUAUCCUAUUCAAUAGUAUUCACCAUUGUUCAUCACUAUUCAUGUGAAUAGUAAUUGCGAAUAGUACAUUUGUGAAUGGUAACUGUGCAUGUACCACUACAGCACAAAGUUACAAAAAAUAAAAAAAAUACAUCAUUAGUUUUUACAUGAAAAACCUUUCUGCUACCAGAGGGAAAAAUCACAGGACCUCGUCCAGGUAAAACUUCCACUAUCCUUGAGUCUGAUAACACUUGGACCAUUCAACCAUAACCGCUCGGUAAGUGUUGCAUAUUUACUCACCAAGGGUUGUUGAGUCUUAUUCUGAUAUCACUUGUUGAGUCUCAAUACCCAUUGUUGAGAAAAACGAUGACUCAAUUUCUACACCUAUGUAUACGUCACUAAAGAAAAUUUGACAAUUCUAUUCAAUACUAUUAAUGUGAACAAUAAUUGUGAAUAGUACACAUGUGUUCUACUAUUGCAGGUUUACUCACCAAGGAUUGUUGGGUCUUUCUCUGAUACCACUUGUUGAGUCUCAAUACCCAUUGUUGAGAAAAAUGAUGAUUCAAUUUCUCCACCUGUGUACCUAAAGAAAAUUUGACAAUUCUAUUUAAUACUAUUCAGGUGAACAAUAAUUGUGAAUAGUACACAUGUGUUAUACUACUGCAGGUUUACUCACCAAGGAUUGUUGGGUCUUACUCCGAUACCACUUAUUGAAUCUUGCCAUCCCUUUAUGAGAAAAAUGAUGACUAUGUUUCUCCAUCUGUGUGUAUACUAUGCAAUACUAUUCACGUGAACAGUAAUUGUGAAUAGUACACCUACGAAUAGUAACUAUGCAUGUAUCACUUACUUCGAUACCUCUUAUUUAGUCUUGAUACCCCUUGUUGAGAAAAACGAUGACUCCGUUUUCCCA